AUUCCACUGGAAUUUUUGGAGUAAAAGAUCCAUGGGCAUGGAAAUCAAUGGGAAACAAGGGGGCCCUGGUCUUGCUAUGCCUAGGGACUUUGAUGUGGGGAAUGGUUUCCCAGGAGAAGUCCGGACUCCUGGGUUCUCUUCCUUCUCUGGCCUGGGAUGGCAGGAGGGAGCCUUUGUGACUGACCCCAGUGCUCGAAAAGGAGGAGACUCCCUGGGUAUUGCAGCACCAGGGAUGAUGAGGGGGAACGUUGGGAGCAGAUCAUGUCAUGAACUCCGAGCAGUGUGUGUAGAUUGCACUCCCUGCACCCCAGUGCGGGGAGGAGGAGCUGCUCUGGCUGGGGCAGGGAUGGGGAGGGACCAAACAGGCUGCUUAAUGAGAGGCUGCCUUGAGCCCAGACUCACGCCUGUUCCCCGCUCGGGUCCAGGACGGCCAGGCUCCUGAGGGUGUUCAGGAAGAAGGCUCUGCAGGUGGCCCCAGAGGCUGAGGGAAGCAGCUGCCAUCUUCCCCAGGAGCAGAGCGGCCCCUCCAUCCCUGCUGGCGGGGAAGAAGCUCCCAGACGGGCCAGGAGGUGGAAGUGCCCAGCCUUCUGGCAGAGGAAACCCGCUCCCGGGGCAGGCGCCGAGGUGGGAGAGGCACCGGCCAGGCCGAAAUGGAGCUGGCCCAGAAUGCGGCCGGGCAGGCAGGACCCAGCCCAGGAGGGGAGCUGGACAGGGUGGCUCUGGGGCUUGUUGUGUGGGAAGCACCGGCCCCAGGAGCCCAGCCCUGAUUCCCAGCAGGAGGCAUCGCCCUGCCCAGUCAGUGAGGACCUUCCAGCCUCCCCAGGGCUGGAGGUGGAGGAUCCCUGCCCCAGAACCAGCAGCUCUGGCUGCUCCCCAUGAGACAGCAGCAGCGCCUGGGACUCGAGCAGCAGUGAGGCUGAUGGGCGCCACUGCUUUAUUCCAGGGACCCCCAGGGACUCAGAGGACAAAGAGGAGGAAUGGGUAGACGUGGCCACAGAGGAGGCUGCUCUCAAUAACAUCCAAGAGCAGCUCCAGGGCCGAGAAAAGGAUGAGGCCCAGCAGCUCAGGUUCCUGCCCGCCAUUCACCCUGCGUGUUUUGCUGCACAGCAGAGAGGGCAGGACACACUAGAGCCACACUGCUGCAAGGUGGCUGUGGUGGAGAGGAUUGUG